CCUACGGGUGGCAGCAGUGAGGAAUAUUGGUCAAUGGGCGCGAGCCUGAACCAGCCAAGUAGCGUGAAGGAUGACUGCCCUCCGGGUUGUAAACUCCUUUUAUACAGGAAUAAAGUGAGGCACGUGUGCCUUUUUGUAUGUACUUUAUGAAUAAGGAACGGCUAACGCCGUGCCAGCAGCCGCGGUAAUACGGAGGAUCCGAGCGUUAUCCGGAUUUAUAGGGUUUAAAGGGAGCGUAGAUGGGUUGUUAAGUCAGUUGUGAAAGUUUGCGGCUCAACCGUAAAAUUGCAAUUGAUACUGGCAGUCUUGAGUACAGUUGAGGGAGGCGGAAUUCGUGGGGUAGCGGUGGAAUGCUGAGAUAUGACGAAGAA
rnacentral:rRNA from 1 species